CAUCUGUCAGAAUUACACCCACUCGCUUUUGCUUAUGCCAAGAUCCCUAUAAACUAUUCACCAUCUUUCUCCAAACUGAAGUCUUGAACUCCCACCACACCAACUUGUUUUCCGACCACACCUUCCCAUUCUCAAUGGCACUUAAUUAAAGGAAGAUAGACACUAAAAAAAGGGGAAGAACCAAGGAGGCAAGAGGACUGGAAAAAAGAACCAUGAAAGCUAGCUGGAAAAGGAUGAAGGAAAGGUAGCUCAGUGUUGAUUUCGGCUAGGAGUCUUUCUUACAGGCAAAGGGAAAAGUAUUUUACAGAAAGAAGAUAGAAAUAUUGUGUUUGGCUGAGAGAAGACAGAGGCAAUGAGAAGACCUCAACGGGAGACCUAUUUUCGUUGCCGCCAUCCAUACCCACGCCGACAGUGGUUUAGAAUCUGCAACCCAAACAUCGAAAAUGUUUGGUUUUUGUGAGAUUUAGUACAAAAGUUGAAACAUUGGGUUUAUUUAAGGAAAAGGUCAUAUCUUUUGGCAAUAGGACUCAUUGCAAGCAAGAGAUGCAGUAGGAGUGAUUGCAAGGUUGGGAGAAUCAAGCUUUUUGGGUGCUGUUGUUGGAAUCCUUUCUUCGUCAACUAUCAUUUCGUUUUGGGUUCUGUAUGUGGGGAGUAAUGCUGGAAUAAGUGGGGAGUUUUUCUUAAUAUUAUGAACAUCAAUAACAGUUUUUUUAAUGCAAAAUAUAAACUUAAGUGGGAACUUAAGAUGGUCAUUUUGAUCUUAAGUUAUGAAUAAUAAAAAUAAACUAUUUCCAUGAAGACUAAAUUGAAUAACAGCUUAUUUGGAUUGUAAACAUUACAAAUU